rnacentral:rRNA from 1 species
CAGCAGCCGCGGUAAAACGUAGGUGGCAAGCGUUGUCCGGAAUUAUUGGGCGUAAAGGGCUCGCAGGCGGUUUCUUAAGUCUGAUGUGAAAGCCCCCGGCUCAACCGGGGAGGGUUAUUGGAAACUGGGAAACUUGAGUGCAGAAGAGGAGAGUGGAAUUCCACGUGUAGCGGUGAAAUGCGUAGAGAUGUGGAGGAACACCAGUGGCGAAGGCGACUCUCUGGUCUGUAACUGACGCUGAGGAGCGAAAGCGUGGGGAGCGAACAGGAUUAGAUACCCCAGUAGUCCCUGUCUCUUAUAC